rnacentral:rRNA from 1 species
UACGUAGGGGGCUAGCGUUGUCCGGAUUUAUUGGGCGUAAAGAGCGUGUAGGCGGCCAUGUAGGUCCGGUGUGAAAACUCGAGGCUUAACCUCGAGAUGUCAUCGGAAACCAUUUGGCUAGAGUCCGGAAGAGGAGAGUGGAAUUCCUGGUGUAGCGGUGAAAUGCGUAGAUAUCAGGAGGAACACCGGUGGUGUAGACGGCUUUCUGGACCGUAACUGACGCUGAGACACGAAGCGUGGGUAGCAAACAGG